GACGAACGCUGGCGGCGUGCUUAACACAUGCAAGUCGAACGGAAAGGCCCUGCUUUUGUGGGGUGCUCGAGUGGCGAACGGGUGAGUAACACGUGAGUAACCUGCCCUUGACUUUGGGAUAACUUCAGGAAACUGGGGCUAAUACCGGAUAGGAGCUCCUGCUGCAUGGUGGGGGUUGGAAAGUUUCGGCGGUUGGGGAUGGACUCGCGGCUUAUCAGCUUGUUGGUGGGGUAGUGGCUUACCAAGGCUUUGACGGGUAGCCGGCCUGAGAGGGUGACCGGCCGCAUUGGGACUGAGAUACGGCCCAGACUCCUACGGGAGGCAACGGUGGGGAAUAUUGCACAAUGGGCGGAAGCCUGAUGCAGCAACGCCGCGUGCGGGAUGACGGCCAUCGGGUUGUAAACCGCUUUCGCCUGUGACGAAGCGUGAGUGACGGUAAUGGGUAAAGAAGCACCGGCUAACUACGUG
rnacentral:rRNA from 1 species